UACGAAGGGGGCUAGCGUUGCUCGGAAUCACUGGGCGUAAAGCGCACGUAGGCGGAUCUUUAAGUCAGGGGUGAAAUCCCGGAGCUCAACCCCGGAACUGCCUCUGAUACUGAAGGUCUUGAGUUCGGGAGAGGUGAGUGGAACUGCGAGUGUAGAGGUGAAAUUCGUAGAUAUUCGCAAGAACACCAGUGGCGAAGGCGGCUCACUGGCCCGAUACUGACGCUGAGGUGCGAAAGCGUGGGGAGCAAACAGG
rnacentral:rRNA from 1 species